rnacentral:lncRNA from 1 species
UAGAUAUAGUUUUUAAGUAAAAUACAAAAUCGGAAGGCAAAAGGAACAAAAACCAUUAACUUUUUUCUAAUGAAAUUACUAAUGUUAAUAGUUCUAAUAACGACGACACAGAAGGUCUGUGCAAUGAAACCUUAAAUUAGAGAGAAAAAAUUGGAUGUUUAUUGUAAAAUAUAGUGAAGUACCCUUUCAUUCGAUAAACUAUAUAAGCGGGAAGGUGAUCAUAAUAAUCCAAAUUGGUGAUAAUUACUCAAUUCGUAAUAUUUCGGGAGAAUUCAGUCCACAAUAUUGCGGGUUCAACAACUACUCACGCUCGAAAAUCACAGCGUUUAAGUUCUGAAUCCGCCACUAGUAUUAGCUGAACCGUAUGUACUAUAUAUGCUCAGAUAAAUCUAAGUUUAACUUUCUUUUGACUUAUUUUUUUCUUUUUUCUUUUUGUGGGUGAAGCAUCAAAAGAUAAAAGGAGGAGGGAAGAGCAUUGUCGACAAACCUUUUGUGUAAAGGGGGGCAUGCAUGUUUUUGGUACCAUGGCCACCUUAAUAAUUCACGUAGCUAGCAUCUUGUGUUGCUUGCAUGUUCCGUCAAUAUAAUUACAUACAAUGAAAUAUAUCUAUUUCUGUGCAAUUCAAAUUCAACUUUAAUUUCAAUAAUCAUGACUUCUCCCAUUAAAGCUAAUCAAUCAAUCACAACCCUAGUCAGUCUCCUUUCUUGCAAAUUUCCUUCCGUUUGUCUAUAGAUUCCUUGUUUACAUUCUUAUGCUUCGAAUAACAGUACGGAAAUUAAG